CCACCGCGCGCUCUGUGAACUCGUGAUUUCGGGCUUGACUGCGGCGUUGUUUUGUUGUUUGUUCGUUGGGGUAACUUCGCGGGCUGUAACCGCAGGCACUUUCUGUUCAAAUUAAAAAUCAAAAAAGCGUCGUGUAACAAAUUCAAUUGUAAAAGAGCUCUUUCUUUCUUUCUUCUUUGGAAGCACUUUUAAAUAAAACUGCUAUACUGUCAGGGCGCUGAACAGGAAGGGGCUUGUGAAUAACGCUACAACAUUUAACAUAUUGCUAAUAAUAAUACUUCGCUAAAUCUGCGGUUUAGCUUUGCUCCAGAGAGCCACAUUUUGUACUUGAGCGUGGGAAACAUCGCAGAAGGCUGUGACGAGAUUGCCAGCCAUGCGUUGCUUAUGUCGGUGCUACGUUUGUGCCCGCAAGAGCUGAGUGAACUGGACGAAGGGGAAGAUACCAGUUCAAGCCAGAGGUGAAAAUGCAGACAUGUGAGAGAUUGCCCAUAAUCCAGGACACCAUAGGCUCAUCUACCUGCAUCCGUUAAUGAAGAUGGCAUUUAAUCCACUGGAAUCAAUAAUAGUGAGUGGAGGCUUUUUUUUUUUUUAUUGGUACUCCCUUACAGUACAUUAACUUCUUACUCUGCACUUGUCCUGCCUUGCACCCAUUGCUGCUGGCUUUCUGUGAUUCUCCAAUAUGCAUAGUCUAUUAGUAUAAAUGGAACUUUAAAUAUUUACAUUCAGUCUCCUCCUUAUCUUGGAGUCAUGAACAUUGAUCUUAGCUGAGGCUAGAGAGGCCUGCAGUAAAUUGGAUGAAAUUCUGGCAUUCCUCCUGUGACUUUUUGAAUGAGCUGUCACUGGGCCCUUGGAUUAGUUUUGGCAGGCCAGCCUUUCCUUGAAAGAUUCACCGCUGUUCCAAUUGUUCUCCAUUUGGAGAUAAUAUCAAUCACUGUGGUGUGGUGGACUCCCAUCUUGGUCACUGUCUAUAUAUGAUUUCAACGUUUCUACCCUUGGCCAUGUAGGUUUUCUCCUGGUACUCUGCUUUGUUUCCACAUUCCAGGUUUACAGCAUUUUAUCAAUUGGCCCCAAUAAGAGUGAGAUUUGUUUGUUUAAUCCACUGCAAGGGAACUCAAAUUCUCACUCUGGCCUGGUCCCUGCCUUGUGCCCAGUGCUGCUGGCUUUCAAUAAGUAAAGAGUAGUUGUAAAACAACGUUAUAAAUGUUAAGAGGAAAGCUUUGUAGUACUACACAACAUAUUUAUUAUAGAGCUCUGAAAUAAGUAAUCAUUCCAUAAAGAAGCUACCCAAGCUGGAUGUCAAACCGUAGGUCCAAGGAAAAUUUUGGCACGUUUCUAAAACUACAAGCCCACUGAACUAGUGUAUUAAAAAAUUGAAAGAGAAAAUUAGAACAAAAGUGUGAAAGAGUAUGUCAGCUUUAAGAAUCACUUUCUGGGUCCAUGUUUCCAUUAUUGGAGGAACUGUGCUAAGUUAAGACAAGAAAAAUUCAUGAUUUGUAUUGACAUUCUGCUGUUUGUAAUUCAUAACCUUUUCCAACUAUAUUCACAUUUUUUUAGCAGAUGUCUGAGCUGCUGCAGUCACAUAGUCAUAGUUGUGAUUGUUAUAAGAUGUGCUACUUAAAGAGGAGAGAAAAAAAAUCUCACAACUGUACUUGAAUGCUUUCAGAGGAAGUUGCCUGCAAUUAUAAAUGUGGACCCUAGCAGAAAUGCUCUCAGUGGUGUUUUUCUUCCAAAUCAUCUGUCAACCCAAGAAGAAAAUUCUGGAAGAUAUUUGAACUUCAGAUGCCGGAGGAGUCCUGAAGAUUCUGUCCCAGUUAUGAAACCAUGAACUAGCUCAUAUGCUGAUGUGGUUAGAUGGGCAGGGAGUGUGUGAUAUUUAAAAUGUUGGUGUUUCUUUAUGCUUUGCAUUAAAUUUUUUCAUAAACUGAA